GGAAUCUGGGCCACAUGUGCGUUAGCAUUGUCUCUGGAAGCCAGAGGUACAAACAAUCGCAUCUACAUUGCCACGCCCCUGGGCACCAGCUAGAGGUCUUCUCAUGUUAUCAAUGUCCCUACUGCAUGGCUGUCAUCUGAGAGUCCCCAAGAACUAGCUAAUGCUCUCCAACCUGCUUAUAUCAUCUUUCCGAAAGAGUCCUCUGCAACAGGCUUUUCUUUGUUUUUCCCAAUAAACAUUAAAACAGUAUUUCAGUCAAUGAGAUCUGAGGUCAUGCUAUGUGUGCAAGACACCCAGAAGACAUAAUUUUCAAAAACUCAAAUUCAUUUGGAGCCAGUGAACUCGUAUUCACAUGACUUGAAGUUGUCUUCAGGUUAAGCUGACAUAUACACACUUAUGAGUUACAAAUUAUUAAUAUAGUAUAGUCUUUUACUGAAGAAGGUAACUGAGUUCAAAGUUGUCCUAAAAGUGUCAAGGUUGAAGAAAAUAUUGAUGUAGAUGAAAGAAAAUGGAGAAGCAUGGUAUUUAAAAACAUAUGGAGUUGAGCUGGAGUAAUGUCUUUAAUAAGGAUGGAAGUUAGACUAAGAGAAUUCGGAAUGGAAGUUCAUUUUUCCAUCAGGCUUGAAACAAAAAUUUAGCCUAAUGCAUCACUACAUCCAUGUCAACCAGCUUAGUGCUAGGCACAGAGCAGGUGUGCAAUAAAUGUCUCACCCACAACUGAUGCAUGAAAAAUGAAGUGUUGCAAGAUCAAACAGACCAAGUAAAAAUUAACUAGUGCAUUUCUAACCUUCCUCUAGUUUGGUUUAAAAUUUUGUAUCUUCUUGACUUUUUGACAGGGCUGAGUGGCCAAAUGGAAAGACACACCUGUGUUGAUUAUUAUUUAAUGCACCCCUGUAAUGGUCUACUUGGCACGUGAGGGUUGUGAGAAUCAGUUGCUGAAGGAAGGCUCCCAUUUGUCCUCUGCUACUCAGAACUUGUGCAAAAUGUGGCUUAUUGUCAUGACAAAGACACUGUCAGGCCAAGCCUUGUCAGCGUUCCUGAGAUGCCAGGCCACCUGUCAGUGUGUUUGGGAGGGGCAGACCACUGCCAUGCAUUCCAGCACACCUCACAAGACAGGCUGCCUUCCGCUGCUUCCCACACAGAGCCUCUGCACUGACUCCGACCCUUGGAACUGCUGAGGGAGCUGGCUUCUAGCUACUGAUCUGAAAGUGAUUAUUAACGUAGUGCAAGCAAGAUAUCUGAUCCUCUGGAGAAGCAAUUCUAAAAAUCCUGGAGUUUUGUUUAAACAACCUCCACAAAUGCAUUUCAGCCCCUCUCAUUUUUUUUUUUUUUUUUUUUUAAAUCUAGUUUUGCCUCUUUGUCUGAAAAGAAAAAUGCUUCAUUUAGUCUGGCCUCUUGCAUCCCCCCCUGAUCCCCACCCCUCCGUAAUUAUUAUGGGGGAAUUACUCUUUGCUAUUUGCUUGUUAGGCUUUGGGUUUAAGAGAAUUUAGAUAACAAAGUUGGCUAAUUCAGGACUGAAUACACAUUGGACUCUGCAAAUAUACCACCCGCUACAUGAUAAGGGCAGGACCCAGCUUCUGGGCUGCACCUGCCGUGAUGCUGUGGGAACAGCUGCUUCUGGAAGCAGGUAGUGGGAACAGCUAUUACUUCAAAGCCCACAUUAAUCCUUUCGCAAUUAAAAGAAGAAAGGGAUGUUUACAGGCAUUUGAUCGCUUUAGGUGGAGAUAUGAGUUUGCUUACAAAGAUUGAAUUCCAGUUCUCUUGUGCUGUGCCUGCUUAAAGUUGACUAAUGAUGAUUUAAAAUAAUGAAACUGCAGUCAUUUUCAAAAGUUAAGAGUCAUUCUUUUGGCACAAAAUGGCUUAACAAUCCCCCCUAGUGGUCUGAUUCUUGUUACUAUGAUUUGUGAAUACUCGCCUUUCCAAAAACUGCCCUCUUGGUUUGUUUAUAGGUUCGUAGCAAAGAAACUGCAGAUAAAACCGAAGUCAGACCAUUUAGAAUUGGACUGCACUUCCACUCAAUUCCUCCUUUCCUGCUCCUAGACAGUGGCUAUUGCUCUUAGGGCAAUCAAACUAAAGCUUCCCACAGAGCCAGCUUUAUAUCUUGAGGGUUUUCUUAAAACUGAUGAAUAAACUCAGGUUUUUGUUCAUCACUGAAAUCAGCGACUAGCGGGGUGUAAUGCACUCUAUCUUUUCAUUAAUGCUGGUGGUAGAUUUCAGUUUCUGAAGGGAAAGUGACUAAAUCAUAGAAAUGAUCUAUGCCUUGUUUUCAGGAAGGUUUAGCCCAAACUAGAUUAUUUCAAUCCUAUAGGAUAGAAUUAUCUUUAAAUGAUUGAAAAAUCCUAUAUGUUUUUCAAGUGUCACCUCCAAGAAAAUGGUCAUUGUUGCCAUGCCCGUGUUUAAUCCUUUUUCUUUGCUCUGUACACAAAGGGUGGGGCC
ensembl:lncRNA